UGAGGAAUAUUGGUCAAUGGGAGCGAUCCUGAACCAGCCAAGCCGCGUGAGGGAAGACGGCCCUACGGGUUGUAAACCUCUUUUGUCGGAGAACAAAACCGCGUACGCGUACGUGGCUGAGUGUAUCCGAAGAAAAAGCAUCGGCUAACCUCCGUGCCAGCAGCCGCGGUAAUAGCGGAGGAUGCGAUGCCGGUUAUUCCGGAUUUGAUUUGGGUUUAAAGGGUGCGUAGGCGGGCUGUUAAGUCAGCGGUAAAAUAUCGGGGCUCAACCCCGUUUAGCCGUUGAAACUGGCGGUCUUGAGACGGUGAGAGGUACGCGGAAUGCGCGGUGUAGCGGUGAAAUGCAUAGAUAUCGCGCAGAACUCCGAUUGCGAAGGCAGCGUACCGGUGCCGAUCUGACGCUGAGGCACGAAAGCGUGGGGAUCGAACAGGAUUAGAUACC
rnacentral:rRNA from 1 species